rnacentral:rRNA from 1 species
GACGAACGCUGGCGGCGUGCUUAACACAUGCAAGUCGAACGGAAAGGCCCUGCUUUUGUGGGGUGCUCGAGUGGCGAACGGGUGAGUAACACGUGAGUAACCUGCCCUUGACUUUGGGAUAACUUCAGGAAACUGGGGCUAAUACCGGAUAGGAGCUCCUGCUGCAUGGUGGGGGUUGGAAAGUUUCGGCGGUUGGGGAUGGACUCGCGGCUUAUCAGCUUGUUGGUGGGGUAGUGGCUUACCAAGGCUUUGACGGGUAGCCGGCCUGAGAGGGUGAACGGCCAACUUGGGACUGAGAUACGGCCCAGACUCCUAAGGGAGGCAGAAGGGGGGAAUAUUGCACAAUGGGCGGAAGCCUGAUGCAGCAACGCCGCGUGCGGGAUGACGGCCUUCGGGUUGUAAACCGCUUUCGCCUGUGACGAAGCGUGAGUGACGGUAAUGGGUAAAGAAGCACCGGCUAACUACGUG